rnacentral:ncRNA from 1 species
GCCGCUUCAAUGCGCGAACGUUCGCGCGUACAAUUCGCCCGAUACGAAGCGCGGAAGCCGGUGCAAGCCCGGCGCGGUCGCGCCACUGUAACCGGUGAUCGUUGAUCCCGGAAGCCAGACCUGCCUUCGUACCCAUCCAACAU